GCGUUGGCCCAGGCUAUAAAGGAGGCCAAAGAGCAGCACCCUGACAUGUCCGUCACUCGCGUGGUGGUCCACAAAGAGACGGAGCUCGCCGAGGACGAGGACUGAAGGACAGAGCUGAAGUCCAGUGCGCUCCUCCACGGCUCAGAGUUCAUCCCUUCAUCCGGAGGAGAGAAGAGCAGCUCUGAUCCUGUACAGAAAAACAUCUUCAUCUUCUGUCUUUCACAACCAGAACCACUUAGCUAACAUUUGUAGCAUUUUAUUUUUUUAGUCUUCGUUUUAUCUCUUUCCCUCAAAAGAUCAUCUUUACCAUUUCUGAAGACCAGAUUGAUGUUAUUUUUAUUGUUAAUUAGUCAUUCACAUUCCUAGUUCAUGAGGAGGAGUAAUGGAUCACGUUGUGAUGGAGUCCUUUGUAAUAAUAAUAAUAGGAGGAGCAUGUGAGCAUAUGAAGGC